rnacentral:rRNA from 1 species
UACGAAGGGGGCUAGCGUUGCUCGGAAUUACUGGGCGUAAAGCGCACGUAGGCGGCUUUCUAAGUCGGGGGUGAAAUCCUGGAGCUCAACUCCAGAACUGCCUUUGAUACUGAGAGGCUUGAGUCCGGGAGAGGUGAGUGGAACUGCGAGUGUAGAGGUGAAAUUCGUAGAUAUUCGCAAGAACACCAGUGGCGAAGGCGGCUCACUGGCCCGGUACUGACGCUGAGGUGCGAAAGCGUGGGAGCAAACAGG